GUGAGUGUGUGCUCCGAGCAGACCCAGGCCUUGCCCUGUCUUGGCCCUGACCGCACUGCUCCAGUGGUAGAAGAUUGGAAGGUUAACCAGGCCCAGAGAGAAGGUUAAAGUUGAGGACAAGCCAGAUUCUGAUGUAGAUAGUAGUCAGCCUCAGGCAGGCACUAAACCUGGGCUAGACGCUGGAAGUGGUCCAC